rnacentral:tRNA from 1 species
GUAGACAUAGUUUAACAAAAACAUUAGAUUGUGAUUCUAAAAACGAGGGUUAAAGUCCCCCUGUCCACC